rnacentral:rRNA from 1 species
GACAGAGGGUGCAAACGUUGUUCGGAAUUACUGGGCGUAAAGCGCGUGUAGGCGGCCCUGUAAGUCGGGUGUGAAAUCCCACGGCUCAACCGUGGAAGUGCACUCGAAACUACAGGGCUAGAGUCCUGGAGAGGAAGGUGGAAUGCUUGGUGUAGAGGUGAAAUUCGUAGAUAUCAAGCGGAACACCGGUGGCGAAGGCGGCAUCCUGGACCGGUAUUGACGCUGAGGCGCGAAAGCGUGGGGAGCAAACAGG